GACGAACGCUGGCGGCGUGCUUAACACAUGCAAGUCGAGCGGUAAGGCCCUUUCGGGGGUACACGAGCGGCGAACGGGUGAGUAACACGUGGGCGACCUGCCCUCAGCUCUGGGAUAAGCCUGGGAAACCGGGUCUAAUACUGGAUAUGACUCCAUGACGCAUGUUGUGGGGUGGAAAGCCUUGUGCGGCUGAGGAUGGGCCCGCGGCCUAUCAGCUUGUUGGUGGGGUGAUGGCCUACCAAGGCGACGACGGGUAGCCGGCCUGAGAGGGCGACCGGCCACACUGGGACUGAGACACGGCCCAGACUCCUACGGGAGGCAGCAGUGGGGAAUCUUGCGCAAUGGGCGAAGGCCUGACGCAGCGACGCCGCGUGAGGGAUGACGGCCU
rnacentral:rRNA from 1 species